GACGGGGGGGCAAGUGUUCUUCGGAAUGACUGGGCGUAAAGGGCACGUAGGCGGUGAAUCGGGUUGAAAGUGAAAGUCGCCAAAAAGUGGCGGAAUGCUCUCGAAACCAAUUCACUUGAGUGAGACAGAGGAGAGUGGAAUUUCGUGUGUAGGGUGAAAUCCGUAGAUCUACGAAGGAACGCCGAAAGCGAAGGCAGCUCUCUGGGUCCCUACCGACGCUGGGUGCGAAAGCAUGGGAGCGAACAGG
rnacentral:rRNA from 1 species